rnacentral:misc_RNA from 1 species
GAUCAUACUGGUGCCAGUAACCAUUAUCUUUCACAAAUGAUGCAGAAUUUGCAUCAUGUGAAUGGUAUGGUACAUGAACACACCAGGGUUGAUGGAGAUACUCAAGAUGAUCAAUUUAUUGUCGAUGGAUGAUGUCUUUUUCUCAGCACCAUCAUCUGCAUGGUGAGCUCAAGUAACAAGGAAAUACACUGGCAGGUUUUUGAUGGUGACAAGUUGUAAAGGUCA